rnacentral:lncRNA from 1 species
CAAUGCCAGGCUUGCAGUUGUUAAUUGUUAUAACUAACUUGUAUACUAUCAUCGCUUCUUCUUUUGGGGUCAUUUUUCUCGAUAAUGGCUGGGCAUUGGCCCUAUACUUUCAUUGUGUUUUGCUGCCAAUCAAGAACUAUUACAGAAAUAAGUUUUGUUCCAAUCCGUUUUCUGGCCAUCAUGCCCUCUUCUUGCUAGAUUGGAGCAGAGUCAUGAAAAUGCCAAAGUUUAUGGAUUUCUCACUAUCAAUAUUUAUUAUUACACUAAUUUUAUCAUAAUAAAAUUAAUACAGGUAUCCCUCUUAUAAAAUGUUCUCUUACAACGUGAUUUUGCUCCACCACUAUUUGAAAAUUGUGGAAACCCUCAUAUAACACAAUAUUUGUACAACAUGGUUUUUAC